ensembl:ncRNA C30B5.16 ncRNA
CUUCGGGACGUCUUCUUCGUCUUCAUCGUCAACUUGGCUCCCCCCUUGUCGCAAGUCAUUGUUGUAGGAGCUGAGAGGAAGAAGAAGAAAAAAAUGGAGGAGGAGGAAGAAGAAAAGGUUUUUGUGUGAGAAUGAGCACGAGGUGAC